UACGUAGGGUGCGAGCGUUAAUCGGAAUUACUGGGCGUAAAGCGUGCGCAGGCGGUUCGUUGUGUCGGCGGUGAAAUCCCCGGGCUCAACCUGGGAAUGGCGAUGGAUACUGGCGAGCUAGAGUGUGUCAGAGGAUGGUGGAAUUCCCGGUGUAGCGGUGAAAUGCGUAGAGAUCGGGAGGAACAUCAGUGGCGAAGGCGGCCAACUGGGCCGGACCUGACGCUGAGGCGCGAAGGCGUGGGGAGCGAACGGG
rnacentral:rRNA from 1 species